GGUCUCGUGGUGUAGCGGUUAUCACGCCUGCUUCAUACACAGGAGGUCUCCGGUUCAAUUCCGGCCGAGAUCA
rfam:Ascaris lumbricoides genome assembly, scaffold: ALTE_contig0000052